AUUGAACGCUGGCGGCAGGCUUAACACAUGCAAGUCGAGCGGGGUGAUGGUGCUUGCACUAUCACUUAGCGGCGGACGGGUGAGUAAUGCUUAGGAAUCUGCCUAUUAGUGGGGGACAACAUCUCGAAAGGGAUGCUAAUACCGCAUACGUCCUACGGGAGAAAGCAGGGGAUCACUUGUGACCUUGCGCUAAUAGAUGAGCCUAAGUCGGAUUAGCUAGUUGGUGGGGUAAAGGCCUACCAAGGCGACGAUCUGUAGCGGGUCUGAGAGGAUGAUCCGCCACACUGGGACUGCGACGCGGCCCAGACUCCUACGGGAGGCAGCAGUGGGGAAUAUUGGACAAUGGGGGGAACCCUGAUCCAGCCAUGCCGCGUGUGUGAAGAAGGCCUUAUGGUUGUAAAGCACUUUAAGCGAGGAGGAGGCUCUUUUGGUUAAUACCCAGGAUGAGUGGACGUUACUCGCAGAAUAAGCACCGGCUAACUCUGUGCCAGCAGCCGCGGUAA
rnacentral:rRNA from 1 species